UUCUCAAUUUUCUUGUCAUUCACGUUUCAAUCUUUAAUCGAUAUUCGUUAUCAUUUAUUGCUUGCUAAACAUUCAUACGACGGUUAAGACCCUUAAAAAUCCUACAUUACAGUUUGCGCGGUGUAAAAGAUCUUAUCAAAAUGAAUUUAUUCUGUAACUUACUACUAACUCUUUCAGUAACAGAAGUUCCUUUAGUAAUCGAUAUCCUCAAGCAUAAAAAUAUUAAAAAUGCUGUCUUAUUUCAAUGUUACGAUAACCAUUUCGUGAAUGGUGUCCAUAAAAUAUUCAACGAUAACAAUAUUCUCAUAGCGGGUUCUAAAAUAAUUUCCAAUGGAACGUACAUCGUACCAUUGAACUAUAAGAAGACUGGGAUAGUGGUAGACACUUCUUGUGAAGGCUGGAAUUCUGUUUUGGAUUCGAGAACUAUAUCAUUUAAAGAUUUUUCAUUCAUUAUAAUCGCGGAACAUUUGUCGCCAAUUUUAGAGGCCUUGUCUCGAUAUCCAAUAUUAGUGGAUUCUGAUGUUAUUGUCGCUCAUAAGCUGAAUCAGUCCUACAACUUGUACGAAGUGUACAACACGGGCUUUAAAUUAAAGGGUAAAUAUGUAACCAGAUUGGUUGGCCAUUGGAAUUCUUCAUUAUACAUCGAGGACUUGAACCGAUGGGACUUGGGCGGCGCGUUCGUUAAAACAGCGGUAGUUGUAAUAAAUCCGACUAAGUUAACGAACCAGACCACAGAACAGUACAUGGAAAAGCCUAUUCGCAUGCAGGUCAAAGUUGAUACGGUGCAUAGAAUGAAAUUUUUCAUUUUACUAAAAUAUAUGCGAGAUAUGUACAAUUUUCGGUUCGACAUGCAUCGCGUACAUUCAUGGGGUUACAAACGCAACGGCACGUUCGAUGGUAUGGUGCACGCUUUGUACUGCGGCCAGGCGGAACUAGGAGGAGCCCCCAUCUUUUACAGGAUCGAUAGAUGGGAGCUUGUGCAGUACGUUUCAGAGGUUUGGGUGUCUAGGUAUCGCUGUGAACCGCGAGUCAACGUCCACAAAGCUGCUGAUAUUCAUCACGUUCAUGUACGCGGUGACUCUAUAUCAGUACUACAACGCUACUAUAGUGUCGUCCCUACUUUUAGAGGCGCCCAGGAAUAUUAGGACGCUGAAGGAUCUUUUGGAUAGCGAUUUGAAGGCUGGUGCUCAUGAUAUUGUGUAUAAUUAUGACUACUUUAAACGUACCACCGACCCAGUAGCCAUCGAACUGUACCACAAGAAGGUUGUAACAGCCACCCAACACAACUACUUCCCUGCGGAAAAAUGCAUGGACUUAGUAAGAAGAGGGGGCUACGCCAUACACAUCGACA
rnacentral:misc_RNA from 1 species